GUCCAAGAGCCGUGGCGAUGCGGCACUGAGGGAUGUGGUGUGUGGGCAUGGGGGGGUGGGCUGGGGUUGGACGUGGUGAUCUCAGAGCUCUUUUCCAGCCUUAAUGAUUGUAUGACCCACAAGGAUGGUCGAGUCCAGCUGGCUCUACGCAGGGUUACCAAAAUUGAAACCCUUUGUCUGAGGCUGAGAGAGGUGGGACCGUUCAGCCUGGAGACGAGGAGGCUCAGGGGGAUCUCAGUAAUGUCCAUCAGUACCUGAGGGGUGGGCGCAAAGGGGCCGGAGCCAGGCUCUUGUCAGUGGUGCCCAGGGCCAGGACAGGAGGCAAUGGGCACAAACUGGAACACAGGAGGUUCCUUUCAAACAGCAGAAGCACUUCUAUGCUGUGCAGGUGGUGGAGCAGUGGCACAGGCUGCCCACAGGCUGUGGGAUCUCCUCCUUGGAGACCUGCCUGGGCACCCUGCUCUGGGUGUCCCUGCUGGAGCAGGGCUUGGGCCACAUGGACCCAGAAGGCCCCCCCAGCCUCAGCCAUUGUGCGAUUCUUUGAACAGUCUCAUGCUGAUAAAGGUGAGAGAGAGCACCUCUGUCCCCAGGGGGCAGUCAGCAUCUCAGAUGACCGUACUGGAAAAUGAGUCUGUUCCCAUUGCUCCAUGUCCAGCAUAAGUUUCCCUCUCUCCUUCAGUUACCUUCUGGAAGAAGCCCCCAGAAAUGCUUGUCGUCCCUUCAGAAAAGCUGGGACAGUACGAGAUAGGGGAAGCAGGGUUGGAAAACAUGCAAGUGCCCCAGUCCUGAGAAUGGAUCCUUGCUUAGAAAUGGUCACUACCAGGUGCCAUAUGCAUCCCCUGACUGAUGCAAGGGUCACAGAGAGCUCCUGUAGGAGCACAGCCCCAGUACAGAAGGCAACAAGGUGGAGGUGAGAAGUGAGCCCUCAAGCUCUUAGCCCAGUCCUUGACUAGAGAGGAUGCAACCUGCAUGAACUCCAGGGCUCGGCUUUUAUUCACAAUGCAGUACAUUCUCCAGCUUCCCUGACACCUGGUACAUCUCUGAAAGCUCAAGAAAGGGGUAUCAGGUGAGGGUACAAGGGCAAAAGAGCUCAGUGAGAGCUCUGCACAAGUUUUGCAGCCUGCACAGCCAUGGUACUGACGUGUCUGAGGGUCCACAUCCUCUGCACAGAGCGCACAGAAUGCUGCCCCUCCACCACAUCUGCAUGAGCUGUUCCUAUAGUUUCCCCUUCUCUCUAUCAAACCAGCAUUGUGCGUGUGCUGAAAAUGAUAUGACAGCAAAAAGCAGUGGGGUCCUUCCCUCAGGAGAGCCCCAGUGGCAAAUUUCCUCCUGACCCCAUCUCUUCACAGCAGUUUUAUUCCUCUUUAUGGCAGUUUUAUUCCUCAAAGCAUUAAAGGUCUCAUGGCGAUGUGACUUUAUGCCAUUAUCCCUCUUCAUUUCUUUAAGCCUUUAUUAAAUUAUUUUCAGGCUCUUGGCUCAAUGACCUGUUUUGGCAGCGUAACAUAUGGGACAAGAGCUCAUAUCAAAUGGAUUUAACUGAGUGUGGUGUGCUAGGUGGAGGAGGUCAUGCACACCAUCACAGUCAGCAGUGGACUUCCCAGCAGCACCAACAGAGGCACAUGGUGUAUGGUAAGUGGGGAGGUACUGCGGGCAUAGGAUCAGAAAAUGCCUUGGGUUGGAAGGGACCUCGAAGACUCUGGGAGGUACACUUCUAUCCAGCAAGUGGCAGGUGAUGGCUCAUGGUGGCAGCCUGUGCCUCCUGGCGAGGGCACUGGGAGGGCUUCUUCGCUUGGGCUCCGAAAAGGGAGAGCUCUGUUACUCGGAGUUGCAUUUAGGUGGUGCUAGAGAGUAAAUAAUUAAAACCUCUGCAGCUGAGGUGUGCAAAUGGGGAGCUGGAAGAAAUCUGUCCCUAAAAUAUUUAGUGAGAAGGUGAGAACGUUGACACUGCACAACAGGGCACAUCUCACAGGACAUGACAGACCCGCAAGGUUUAAGGGAAUGGGCUCUUAAGUCAUCCUGACCUUUUAGUACUUUCUCAAAACCUGAUUAGAAGAAUAAGAGACUCUUGGGUUUUGACCAGUGACAAAAUCCCUGCCUGACACUCUCACCAGAGAGGUACGAUGAGUGUGGUGGUCCAAAUAAAACUUCACAGACCCAGACCUGACUUAUGUGCUCUCUCACCUACAACAGCAGAGCAGGGGCAGUGAGUGCAGCCUCUGCUGUACAUCACCUCCUGAACCUUCCGAAUUCCAAACCAACCCAAUUCUCCCAGUCGUGCAGGGCAGAGGAGGGCUGAGUACGGUGGCGUUCAGCUCCUAGAGAGCAUGGUGGGUCCUCUCCCAUAUUGACUCAGCCUGCAGGAUUGUCUGAGUGAGUUUUGGUAUCACUUGUUGACAGUAAGCAUUCUUUUCUACAUGAGUGUUUUAUUGUCCUGGCAUGGACCAGCCUUGGAUGAGGGCUCUCAGACAUUAUACAUGCUUUAUAAGAUGUAGGACCUAGAAUUUGAUCCAUCAUAGCAACAUGGCAAGAGUAUGAUGAUGGUGGGCUCCACGGUGAAAGUCCAACCAGAAAUUUCAGGUUUUAUAUCCAGCUAGCCAGUUUUAAGUUUUGCUGUUGGUUUCAACAGUAGUGUGCCUGAAUGUCAGACAUCACCUCCACUGCAAAGUUAGAAUCAUAGGAUCGCUGUGGUUGGAAAAGGCCUCUAAGAUCACCAAGUCCAACCCAACACCCCCACUGUGCCCACUAACCAUGUUCCUCAGUGCAAUUUCUCCACAUUCCUUGAACAAUUGCAAGGGAUGGUGACUCCACCACCUUCCUAGGCAGCCUGUUCCAAAGCAUUACCACUCUUUCUGAAAAGAAGCUUUUCCUCAUUAUUCAACCUGAGAAGCAGAGUGUAAUAUGGCCAAACUUAUGAUCCAAGCUGUUGUCUUUUGUAUGUCCUUCCCAGCCGUGGUCUUCCUACCCUGUGGGAUUCAUUUGGAGAUUCCAAGAAGGGGAACUUAAGGAACUGUUGCAGAGAUGAAAUUAAGUGGAAUAACAUGACUGGUGCCCACUCUGUGUUUGCCUCUGAGCCUCAUUAUAUGAUUGAUGCUUGAUUCCUGCUUUCUCAAAACUUCAUGUAGGCCUGUGGAGAACCUGUGUUUUAAUUGCAUGAACAGAAGGAACCCAAGGACAGAGAUCAUGGGUUAGACUUCAGCCUAAUUCCCACUAUUUUCACAGUCUUACUCCCAGAUAAGUGUGUUAAAGAUGAGUUUCCUCCUGAUGAGGAAGUUAUACAGCCCAGGCAGCUUCAGUGAUCUUACUCCACUUCUACCCUGAUGGGGUUGAACUGUAAUCUUUUAUAGGCUGCAGGCAAGUUAGCAUGAAUUCAUGUUAAGGAGACACUGAUUUCCUUGAACUGUUCCAGGACACAAUCUCUGUGUUGUCUCCAGGGACUGCAGUGCUGCUCAAGGCCGUCUUUUCCUUUAUGCUUCGCCAUCCAAGGCAAAUGGAACACUCAGAUGACCACCACUGCUCAUUAAGGCAUUAAGAGUUCAUUUUGAGUGAGGUGUGUUACCUGAGCACAUCAGAGGGGUCAUGGUUAAAGCAGCCUUCCUGCACUCCCUCUGUAGAUCUGUCUGCUUCCUUUCCUUUUUCCUCAGUCCUGAGCAGUGCUAUAGAGCUUGUCUCAAACCAACCACAUCUGUCCAAGAAGAAGUACGUUUCAGUGGUGCAUUUCUGGAAAUCAAAUGUCUGUUUUAUAUCCAGUAUUUAGGUCCCUGUUCACAGCCUUCCAGUACUUGAAGGGAGCUUAAAGCAGGAGAGGGCCAACUUUUUACACAGUUUAAUAGUGAUAGGACAAGGGAGAAUAGCUUUAAACUGAAAUAGGGGAGGUUUAGGUUAUACAUUAGGGGGAAAUUCUUUACUGAGAGAGCUGUGAGGCCCUGGCACAGCUACCCAGAGAGCUGUGG
ensembl:lncRNA